AAAAAGAUAAGCUAAAUAAGCUUUUAGGUUCAUACCCUAAAUAUAAAGGCUAUAACCCUUUUCUUUUUA
rnacentral:tRNA from 1 species